CGGGGGAGCAAGCGUUGUUCGGAUUUACUGGGCGUAAAGGGCGCGUAGGCGGCCAGCACAAGUCAGUUGUGAAAUCUCCGGGCUUAACUCGGAAAGGUCAACUGAUACUGUGCGGCUAGAGUGCAGAAGGGGCAACUGGAAUUCUCGGUGUAGCGGUGAAAUGCGUAGAUAUCGAGAGGAACACCUGCGGCGAAGGCGGGUUGCUGGGCUGACACUGACGCUGAUGCGCGAAAGCCAGGGGAGCGAACGGGAUUAGAUACCCCGGUAGUCCUGGCCUUAAACGAUGGAUGCUUGGUGUCUGGAGCUUUAUAGUCUCCGGGUGCCGUAGCUAACGCGUUAAGCAUCCCGCCUGGGGAGUACGGUCGCAAGACUG
rnacentral:rRNA from 1 species